AUUGAACGCUGGCGGCAGGCCUAACACAUGCAAGUCGAGCGAGCGGCGGACGGGUGAGGAAUGUAUGGGGACUGCCCGAUAGAGGGGGGUAAAUACUGGAAACGGUAGGUAAUACCGCAUACUAUAGGAUAAACCAUAUGGGACUAGCUAGUAGGUGAGGUAAUGGCUCACCUAGGCGACGAUCCCUAGCUGGACUGAGAGGAUGAUCAGCCACACUGGGACUGAGACACGGCCCAGACUCCUACGGAGGCAGCAGUGGGGAAUAUUGCACAAUGGGCGCAAGCCUGAUGCAGCCAUGCCGCGUGUAUGAAGAAGGCCCUAGGGUUGUAAAGUACUUUCAGUCGGGAGGCGUUACCGACAGAAGAAGCACCGGCUAACUCCGUGCCAGCAGCCGCGGUAAUAC
rnacentral:rRNA from 1 species